rnacentral:lncRNA from 1 species
CAAAGGCAAAGCCCCUUGAAAGUAAUUUUCAGGCCAUCGAUGUCACUGGUGCAGAAAGACACAGAGAAGAGUAUGAAGAAAAGAAGAGAAGCAGCACAUCUUAGGUUCCUCAAAGAAUUCUCUACCAGCAACACACAGCUAGUACACCGUGCGAAGAAUCAGAAGGGACAACAGAAAUGAAGGAACAAACACCCGACAAAGACAAGACCAGAUAUGAGCACUUAAAAUUACAAU